rnacentral:pre_miRNA from 1 species
AAGAGGAGUGCCAGAUCCUGGACUGUGUCCCCCAGCGCCGUGGGCUCCGGGGCCUGCGCCACUGGAAUCAUGCUCCCAGGACCUCGCAGCCUCCU